UACAGAGGGGGCAAGCGUUGUUCGGAAUUACUGGGCGUAAAGGGCGCGUAGGCGGCCUGUUAAGUCGAACGUGAAAUCCCCGGGCUCAACCCGGGAACUGCGUCCGAUACUGGAAGGCUUGAAUCCGGGAGAGGGAUGCGGAAUUCCAGGUGUAGCGGUGAAAUGCGUAGAUAUUGGGAGGAACACCAGUGGCGAAGGCGGCUCGCUGGACCGGUUCUGACGCUGAGGAGCGAAAGCCAGGGGAGCAAACGGG
rnacentral:rRNA from 1 species